UACGGAGGGUGCGAGCGUUGUCCGGAAUCACUGGGCGUAAAGGGCGCGUAGGCGGCUCAUGAAGGCUGUGGUGAAAGUCCGGGGCUCAACCUCGGAUCGGCCGUGGCGACUCGUGGGCUGGAGCACUGUAGAGGCGGGUGGAAUUCCGGGUGUAGCGGUGGAAUGCGUAGAGAUCCGGAAGAACACCAGUGGCGAAGGCGGCCCGCUGGGCAGUGGCUGACGCUGAGACGCGAAAGCGUGGGGAGCGAACAGG
rnacentral:rRNA from 1 species